AGGGAGUUUGAUCCUGGCUCAGGAUGAACGCUAGCUACAGGCUUAACACAUGCAAGUCGAGGGGCAGCAGGAUCUUAGCUUGCUAAGAUUGCUGGCGACCGGCGCACGGGUGAGUAACGCGUAUCCAACCUUCCCCUUAGUAGGGCAUAGCCCGAUGAAAAUCGGAUUAAUACCCUAUGUUCUUCGUAGAAGACAUCUGACAUGAAGCAAAGAUUUAUCGCUAAGGGAUGGGGAUGCGUCCGAUUAGGUAGUCGGCGGGGUAACGGCCCACCGAGCCAUCGAUCGGUAGGGGUUCUGAGAGGAAGGUCCCCCACAUUGGAACUGAGACACGGUCCAAACUCCUACGGGAGGCAGCAGUGAGGAAUAUUGGUCAAUGGGCGAGAGCCUGAACCAGCCAAGUAGCGUGCAGGAUGACGGCCCUAUGGGUUGUAAACUGCUUUUAUGCGGGGAUAAAGUGAGGGACGUGUCCCUUUUUGUAGGUACCGCAUGAAUAAGGACCGGCUAAUUCCGUGCCAGCAGCCGCGGUAAUACGGAAGGUCCGGGCGUUAUCCGGAUUUAUUGGGUUUAAAGGGAGCGCAGGCUGGAGAUUAAGCGUGACGUGAAAUGUAGCCGCUCAACGGCUGAGUUGCGUCGCGAACUGGUUUUCUUGAGUGAGUACGACGUCAGCGGAAUUCGUGGUGUAGCGGUGAAAUGCUUAGAUAUCACGAAGAACCCCGAUUGCGAAGGCAGCUGACGAGUCCUUUACUGACGCUAAAGCUCGAAGGUGCGGGUAUCGAACAGGAUUAGAUACCCUGGUAGUCCCCU
rnacentral:rRNA from 1 species